UACGGAGGGUGCAAGCGUUAUCCGGAUUUACUGGGUUUAAAGGGUGCGUAGGCGGAUCUUUAAGUCAGUGGUGAAAUCUCUCGGCUCAACCGAGAAACUGCCAUUGAUACUAUUGAUCUUGAAUACAGUUGAGGUGGGCGGAAUGUGUCGUGUAGCGGUGAAAUGCUUAGAUAUGACACAGAACACCGAUUGCGAAGGCAGCUCGCUAAACUGUGAUUGACGCUGAGGCACGAAAGCGUGGGGAGUCAAACAGG
rnacentral:rRNA from 1 species